GCCUCUCUCCCCCUCCGCGCCAGCUUAUUCACAGUUUGAACGUGCUCGUGAAUCCGCAGGAAGCUGCGGGCAGGAAUGUUUGAAAUGCCUCGUGCACCUUCUUUCUUGCCACUUGUGGGAUCUCCCUUGGAAAGCUCAGUUUUCCCUCCGACGUUAAGAGCCAGGGCCAAACUUCUUGCAUGGAAAAUUAACUUGAAGGAAGAGUGUGAACUACUGGUUAUCGAGCAAGUUAUCUUGGGGUAUCCAAGAUGGAAACCUCAUGGGGUGCUGGCUGAAAUUCCUAUGAAGAGGAUAUGAAGGAAGCCACCUAAACCCACAAAUUGAUCUUCAGCAAUACAGAGAGCCUUUGCUUCUUGCUGUGAGGCUUUGUUGAAAGUUAGAGUUGAUUGAACAAAGUAAAGAGCAGCUGGAGUGAUGCAUUUUGCCUCUGUGGUCAAAUGUCUUUGCACAUCCAUAUUGGAUGACUGAGCCUCACAAAAACAAGACUGAGGAUGAGUGCAUGGAAAUGAGAUUAAAUAAGCAGUGUCACUGGUGGCAGAUGGUUGUUGUUACCUACUUUGCUUGUAAAAUUGAUCAGGACAGACUCUUUCAGCAUU